CAAGUCGAACGGCAGCGGGGGCUUCGGCCUGCCGGCGAGUGGCGAACGGGUGAGUAAUGCAUCGGAACGUGCCCAAUCGUGGGGGAUAACGCAGCGAAAGCUGUGCUAAUACCGCAUACGAUCUACGGAUGAAAGCGGGGGACUCAGCAAUGGGCCUCGCGCGAAUGGAGCGGCCGAUAUCAGAUUAGCUAGUUGGUGGGGUAAAGGCUCACCAAGGCGACGAUCUGUAGCUGGUCUGAGAGGACGACCAGCCACACUGGAACUGAGACACGGUCCAGACUCCUACGGGAGGCAGCAGUGGGGAAUUUUGGACAAUGGGCGCAAGCCUGAUCCAGCAAUGCCGCGUGCAGGAUGAAGGCCUUCGGGUUGUAAACUGCUUUUGUACGGAACGAAAAGACUCCUUCUAAUAAAGGGGGUUCAUGACGGUACCGUAAGAAUAAGCACCGGCUAACUACGUGCCAGCAGCCGCGGUAAUA
rnacentral:rRNA from 1 species